rnacentral:rRNA from 1 species
GAUGAACGCUGGCGGCGUGCCUAAUACAUGCAAGUCGAGCGAACAGACGAGGAGCUUGCUCCUCUGACGUUAGCGGCGGACGGGUGAGUAACACGUGGAUAACCUACCUAUAAGACUGGGAUAACUUCGGGAAACCGGAGCUAAUACCGGAUAAUAUAUUGAACCGCAUGGUUCAAUAGUGAAAGACGGUUUUGCUGUCACUUAUAGAUGGAUCCGCGCCGCAUUAGCUAGUUGGUAAGUUAACGGCUUACGAAGGCAACGAUGCGUAGCCGACCUGAGAGGGUGAUCGGCCACCCUGGAACUGAGACACGGUCCAGACUCCUACGGGAGGCCGCAGUAGGGAAUCGUCCGCAAUGGGGGAAAGCUUGACGGAGCAACGCCGCGUGAGUGAUGAAGGUCUUCGGAUCGUAAAACUCUGUUAUUAGGGAAGAACAAAUGUGUAAGUAACUAUGCACGUCUUGACGGUACCUAAUCAGAAAGCCACGGCUAACUACGUG